GGAAACGUGAUGAAACGGUAGCCAUAACUGUUUGCUAAACAGUCGAGUCAAACUCGUGCAGGUUCAAGUCCUGCCGUUUCCGCCA
rnacentral:tRNA from 1 species